AAUGAACGUUGGCGGCGUGGAUUAGGCAUGCAAGUCGAGCGAGAACCCGCAAGGGGGACAGCGGCAAACGGGGUAGUAAUGUGUCGGAACGUGCCCUCUGGUCGGGGAUAGCGGCGGGAAACUGCCGGUAAUACCCGAUGAACUCGAGAGAGCAAAGGUGUGAUUCCGCCGGAGGAGCGGCCGACAUGGUAUUAGCUAGUUGGUAGGGUAAUGGCCUACCAAGGCUUUGAUGCCUAGGGGGUGUGAGAGCAUGGCCCCCACCAUUGGGACUGAGACACUGCCCAGACACCUACGGGUGGCUGCAGUCGAGAAUCUUCGUCAAUGGGCGAAAGCCUGAACGAGCGACGCCGCGUACGGGAUGAAGGCCCUUGGGUUGUAAACCGCUGUCGAGGGGGAUGAAGGCUUGAAGGUACUCCUUCAAGUUUGACAGAGCCCUGGAGGAAGCACGGGCUAAGUUCGUGCCAGCCGCCGCGGUAAUAC
rnacentral:rRNA from 1 species